UAAAGUAAUUACGAAGCAAUGAGUUUUGAGUAUUUGUCACCUUCACUUUUAAUAUGUUUUAUUUAAUUAUAAGUUUAUAUGAUGCAAUUCUUGAUAACGGGCGAGUGGGCAUUGAUUUGCAAAAUUCGGAAAAUUCAACAGUUAUUACCACUUAGUAUGAGCCAGCUCCAGGAUACCACUAUCUAGGAUUUUUAGAGUGCCAACAUUCUAAAUCUUUAUACUAAAGCAUAAGCCGUUUGAAGCUGGGAAGGGCCAAGUGGAAUAAACCUAGGGAUUUUGGAAGUGUGCUCAGGAGGGGGGCAGAAAAACAUGUUUUCAGUGUAAUAUCCCACACAGAGCACAGAACUAAAAAAUAGAUGGCCAGCCAGUGAAUGAUGCAAUGACCCAACGGGGCAGUGGCCCAACCCACAUGCAGUAGGCUUUGUACUUUGAGUUAUUUUUUAAACCAUUAGUGGGGUAGGUUUAUAUUCCAUCCACCCACAUUAUGUCAUCCAGCCUUCCAUGGGACAAGUGGCACCAACUGUGGCCAGGAGGUAUCAGCAAUGCACUUAGUUACAAUGAGGUCUUGGAGAGCCUACAACAGGGACGUCAUCUGAUACACAGACUGGUCACAGCUGAAAAUCCAGGCAUUUCCAGAGCCCUGCAUGGAUUCUACCUAGACUUCCAGGCAGCCGCAAUCACCUUUGGUUCUUCCCAGAGUGUUUGAAAACAGCAUGGGUCUUAAGGAGUUACAAGCCUGGAUUCGGAUAGAAUCAAAAUUCUAGUUUUGUCACUUACAAAUUGUGUGACUUUGGGCAAACUGCUUAAUUUCUCUGUAUUUCCAUUUCAUCCUAGAUAAAAUGUGGAUGAUAAUACUACCUACUUCAAAGCAUUAUUUGGAAGAUCAAAUGACUUUUGCAUGUAUAAAGUACUUGGAACAAUAUUUGCCACAUAGACUAUGCUAUUUAAAUGUUAGUUAUUGGGAUCCCUGGGUGGCGCAGCGGUUUAGCGCCUGCCUUUGACCCAGGGCGCGAUCCUGGAGACCCGGGAUCGAAUCCCACGUCAGGCUCCCGGUGCAUGGAGCCUGCUUCUCUCUCUGCCUGUGUCUCUGCCUCUCUCUCUCUGUGUCUAUCAUGAAUAAAUAAAUAAAAUCUUUAAAAAAAAAAAAAAAAAAAAAAAAUGUUAGUUAUUAUAUCAUUAUUACAUAUAAUAUAUGCACUUAUAUAUGAUUAUUACAUAUAAUAAUAAUAUAUGUACUAAAUGAAUGAAUGCAGGUGAACAAAUGCAUGGGAAAGAAGGGUCUGAAUAGAUGCAAUGAGAUUCUUCUGGAAAACAAAUGCCAAGUAUGUAUUUAUAAUAAUUAUAAUAAAUAAUAGCAGUAACCUUAGCUAGCAUUUGUGUUUAAAAUACAUUUUAUAAGCAUUAUUUCAUUAAUUCCUCAUAAAA
rnacentral:lncRNA from 1 species